rnacentral:lncRNA from 1 species
GUAUAGAGGUGAUUGGUUUUAGUGUAAGUGGGAGAUUGAAAGAAUAAUGCCCUACAAGCCAAUCGUAUAUGGGAUGCGAUAGGAUGUUUAUUGUAAUUUAUCUUUCAGACUCAUGUAAUUGAUAUUUAUAUUAUUAAUAAAAUAGAUAUUUUUGAUUCAUUAUGUGCAACAUCUUAUUAUUUUUAAGAUUAUAAUGAACCUCAUAGGUCCGGACAAUGAUUUUAGGGUCAUGAUAAGAUCACGCUAGUGAGACCUAAAUUCUUGAUAGCCAUGAUCUAAAAUAUUUUUAGUCGUUGGUUCAUUGAGUCGGGGAUCAAUGAUACCGGUAAGACUGGUAUGUCCUAUGUAUGCUAAAAAAUGAGGGUGGUUAAUCUCACAACCACUUGUGUGUUGAUACUAAUACAAGGAUAUAGGUAUUCAUUAGAGAAUGAGUUCACUGAAUAGACCUACGAGAGAAUAUCAGAUGGAGUCUUAUUUACAUAUCAAUGGAUGAUUCUUAAGUGAGAGUUGUGUAAGUGAUCUUUUGAUCUGAGAUCGCAUGGUACCUUGUAUAUAUGGAUCCAUAUUUUGAUUCACUUCCUAACUUGAUUUUUUGAUCUUUAUAUGGGGUGUUCUAGAUGUGGUGAAGUGUACAUAGAGGUUUUGAGUAAUCAAUAAGGGAUCAGUCACUCUUAAUAUGGGGAGCGAACAUCCUAUGUAAUCUCAU